UGGUGGGGUGACUUGUCUGCUUAAUUGCGUUAACGAACGAGACCUUAACCUGCUAAAUAGCCCGCAUUGCUCCGGCAGUGCGCUGGCUUCUUAGAGGGACUUUCGGCUCAAGCCGAAGGAAGUUUGAGGCAAUAACA
rnacentral:rRNA from 1 species